rnacentral:misc_RNA from 1 species
GAUGAAGAACGCAGCGAAAUGCGAUAAUUAAUGUGAAUUGCAGAAUUCCGUGAAUCAUCGAGUCUUUGAACGCACAUUGCGCCCCCUGGUAUUCCGGGGGGCAUGCCUGUCCGAGCGUCAUUGCUGCCCUCAAGCACGGCUUGUGUGUUGGGCUCCGCCCCCCUCCCGGGGGGCGGGCCCGAAAGGCAGCGGCGGCACCGCGUCCGGUCCUCGAGCGUAUGGGGCUUUGUCACCCGCUCUGUAGGCCCGGCCGGCGCCCGCCGGCGACCCCAAUCAAUCUUUCCAGGUUGACCUCGGAUCAGGUAGGGAUACCCGCUGAACUUAAGCAUAUCAAUAAGCGGAGGA